rnacentral:lncRNA from 1 species
UUUUUUUGCAUGCGAUUUUUUUCCCCCUGUUUACUACAAAGAGCAGAUAAGGUUACAUAUCGUACACUGGGAAAAGCUGCCAAGAUAUUCAACUAUAGUCCUAGAUUACCAAUAAACCAAUGCUACGUCACAACACCCGCCUGCGUGAACUACUCGGGCUGCGUCCGUACAGAGCAGGCGAUGACUUGCGAGAGACUUCUCCCCUGCGCACAGCCGGAAGUGUGCCAGGUGAUGGUAAGACUAUUACAAUGACUAAUCACAGAGAUGUUUGCAACCUAAAACAAAUUCUUUAACUGCAAUUGAAGCAAUUUACGACUACUCCAUUUGUGGUGGGUCUUGCACUGCGAAAACAGUACGCUGAAAUGUUGCCUGAACCAAAGAAAUGAAGAAAUGCUAAAUUCUUCUUUUUCACUUCCAGAAUCCCAAGAGCUAAGAUGAAUAUGCCAGCUCUCCUGGCCUCCUAGCUUAGCUUCCUGUUCGUUUAAAUAAUAAUAAUAAAAAAUAUCUCUGUCCGUUACAUUUUUUACUUUUUUGAGUUUUACUUUAAAUGCAUAUAAAUGGUCGGUAUCUUUCGUAUUUGAGGAAUGUAUUCUGGGUGUUGGGUUUUCUUUUUGGUAUGGGUUAAAACAAAUGAUUGUCCUAAUGGUUCAGGAAUUGGACCCUUCUGUAAGACUGAAGAGUUUGGAGACUCCAGACUUUAGUCUGUUGGGUCUUUGUUUUCCAUUCCCUCAGGGAGAUGGCAAGAUCAAACUCUGCCUUCCUUGAGCAUUUGGUUGGUGGCUGGAGAGUAAUGAAAUUUCCUCAAGAGAAGAUCAAGAGAUGCUAUUUUAAAGGAAAUGGCACCUAAGGGUGAAGGAGUCAGUGAAAAAAAGCUGACAACCCCUUCAUUUGUGAGUAUGUGGCCUGACAAUUUUGAAUUGCUAUCAAUGGUUAGAAAGUGAGUAAGAGAAAGCACAUACUGGAGUUUCCACUGUUAAAAGAACUGGAAAAUCAAACAAAAAUUGAAGCUUGAACAAGGAAAACAUUGGAUGAGAAGAAGUCUUACGCCACACAAACACACACACUCAACACACACACGCACACAGAAUACUAUGCAUACACGGACACACACAAGUAAGAAUGUAUAUUUGUAUGGUAGGUUCUUGGAAAUAGACAUUCUUAGCAAAUAUGGAUGACAGAUCAAUUGUAAUUUAUUUUCUUUUAACACUGUAUCAUCAUAAAGAAAACUGGUAUAAAUGAAAAAAAUCUAUUUCAAAUAUCUACAUCUAAAAUUUUAGGCAGUGAAAAAGCACUUCGUUGACAAGGAGUGUGGAAUGAUGAAUGUUAAUUGUCAGAAACUGCUGAAUGCCUUUUUUUUGUUUUUAGUUGCCAC